AUUGCUGUAGCUUAUAAAGUAGAGUAAAACAUUGAAGCUGUUUUGGAGAUUUUGAUCCUGCAAUA
rnacentral:tRNA from 1 species